rnacentral:rRNA from 1 species
UACGUAGGGCGCAAGCGUUGUCCGGAAUUAUUGGGCGUAAAGAGCUCGUAGGCGGCUUGGCAAGUCGGGUGUGAAACCUCCAGCUCAACCUGGAGACGCCACCCGAUACUGCCAUGGCUAGAGUCCGGUAGGGGACCACGGAAUUCCUGGUGUAGCGGUGAAAUGCGCAGAUAUCAGGAGGAACACCGGUGGCGAAGGCGGUGGUCUGGGCCGGCACUGACGCUGAGGAGCGAAAGCGUGGGGAGCGAACAGG